GACGAACGCUGGCGGCGUGCUUAACACAUGCAAGUCGAACGGAAAGGCCUGCAGCUUGCUGCGGGUACUCGAGUGGCGAACGGGUGAGUAACACGUGGGUGAUCUGCCUUUCACUUCGGGAUAAGCUUGGGAAACUGGGUCUAAUACCGGAUAGGACAGCUGUCUAGUGUCAGUUGUGGAAAGUUUUUUCGGUGCUAGAUGGUCUCGCGGCCUAUCAGCUUGUUGGUGGGGUAAUGGCCUACCAAGGCGUCGACGGGUAGCCGGCCUGAGAGGGUGUACGGCCACAUUGGGACUGAGAUACGGCCCAGACUCCUACGGGAGGCAGUAGUGGGGAAUAUUGCACAAUGGGGGGAAGCCUGAUGCAGCGACGCUGCGUGCGGGAUGAAGUCCUUCGGGUUGUAAACUCCUUUCGACGGGGACGAAGCUUUUGUGACGGUACCUGUAUAAGAAGCCCCGGCUAACUACGUG
rnacentral:rRNA from 1 species